UUGCUGGAGAACCCUGUGUAUCUAAGGCCUUCUGAAGGGUGCUGUAGGGAGCAAAGCUGGCCACCUAGAUCCUUGAAGAGAGGCACCACCUUAAUGCUGCUCAGUACAGUACGCUUCCUUUGGACAGAAAGCCAAACCAGUUCUCUGCUGCCAGCUAGAGAAAAGUGAGGAAGGACAAACAAACAGAGUUCAAAUCAUGGAAGACAGAAUCAUAGAAAGGACUGGCUUCCAACAAACAGGGUUAGACCAACCCUGUAAUCGCCAGGGUUCCUGAUCAAGGGGCAGCUCUUCUUGCUGCUGCUGCUGCUCCCCACUAACAGGUUUUCCAUGGCAGCAGCGCAUGUGGACUGCAGCUGGUGACCUGGGGCAGGGCUCCAGUGCCUGGCUGCCUUCAUACGAGGCUCAUUGCUGGCACUGCACCUGCUGGGAAGGACCGAAGAUGCUCUUCCACCAAGGUACAGAGGACAGCUGGGGCAGAGCUGUGCGGUGCCAUGGAGCUGCCCUCAUGCUGUGCUGCUGCUAUGUAAAUGCUUGCACACAGAGCCCUGCAGAGCGCCCUGUGUGUGUUGGGGGUCUAUGGAGAAGGAAUGUGGUUUGAUACCAAUUCCUUUAACUUAUUCAUACCAAAUGUCAGUGUGAUGUCAUAUAAAAAUCUUUAAUGAUUUUAAAACAAAUGGUCUUUGAGGCAGGAAAAUAGUUUAUAGUGCUGUUUCUAAAAUUAAUUUAAUGUUUUUGGAAUAGAAAUAAAAACAAGGGCCUGCUCAGCUGCAUGUGCACUUCAAACAGCAUCUGACUGUACCUGAGGACCCUCCGGCUGCUCUGGGUUCCCUGGCCAUGGGGCUGUGCUGCAGGCAGUGCUCCUGUUGCCUUGCUGCAAUGAGCACCUGCGCUAAUUAGUACCUGUGAUUUGCUUUCGACAGAAGCAGAACCUAUUUUUAUGGCAUUUCCAAAUGACUCAUAACAGUGCAUCUUCUCACCAUAUGUGCAGAAGCCCAGGCCAGCACUGCGCCUGUGUUCUGGGCCUGGAGUCCUCCCCCUGCAGGCUGCUGGGAUGGCAGUGCGUGGUGCUGCCGUGCCACCCGCCCCGCUCACUGUCUGCUGUGCCCUGGCACACUGCUAGCAGCAGCUCCAGCCCUGUGGUCACAGCAGCACGGUGACACUGGAGCAUAUGUGUCUCAAAAGGAGCUCAGCUCAAGAAAGAGGGAGCAAAGGGCAGGAGCUGCUGUGCACACCUGGGGCACAACCAGCUCUUCUGCUCUCCCUGACCAGCUGGGACCUCUGAAACUGGCCAUAAAUGCAGUGAAGCAACAAACGUUUGGGUCAGAUCACUCCAAGUCCAUCCACCAGCCAAGCACUUCUUUAAAGACCAUGUGAUGAUCCUGAUUUAAUGCUUGCAGUUUCGGGUGUCUGGUGCGCCUCCCCCAGUCGGGCCAUGCUCAAGGCCUCUCAAACACCUG